rnacentral:rRNA from 1 species
GACAGAGGAUGCAAGCGUUAUCCGGAAUGAUUGGGCGUAAAGCGUCUGUAGGUGGCUUUUUAAGUCUGCCGUCAAAUCCCAGGGCUUAACCCUGGACAGGCAGUGGAAACGACCAAGCUGGAGUACGGUAGGGGCAGAGGGAAUUUCCGGUGGAGCGGUGAAAUGCGUAGAGAUCGGAAAGAACACCAACGGCGAAAGCACUCUGCUGGGCCGGCACUGACACUGAGAGACGAAAGCUAGGGGAGCGAAUGGG